rnacentral:tRNA from 1 species
GAGGGUAUAGCUCAGUGGUAGAGUGUGUACUUAGCAUGUAUGAGGUCCUGGGCUCUAUCCCUAGUACCUCCG